rnacentral:rRNA from 1 species
UAGGGAAUCUUCCGCAAUGGACGCAAGUCUGACGGAGCAACGCCGCGUGAGUGAAGAAGGAUUACGGUUCGUAAAACUCUGUUGUUAGAGAAGAACAGCGCAUAGAGUAACUGUUAUGCGUGUGACGGUAUCUAACCAGAAAGCCACGGCUAACUACGUGCCAGCAGCCGCGGUAAUACGUAGGUGGCAAGCGUUGUCCGGAUUUAUUGGGCGUAAAGCGAGCGCAGGCGGUCAAUUAAGUCUGAUGUGAAAGCCCCCGGCUCAACCGGGGAGGGUCAUUGGAAACUGGUUGCCUUGAGUGCAGAAGAGGAGAGUGGAAUUCCAUGUGUAGCGGUGAAAUGGGUAGAUAUAUGGAGGAACACCAGUGGCGAAGGCGACUCUCUGGUCUGUAACUGACGCUGAGGUUCGAAAGCGUGGGUAGCAAACAGG